rnacentral:rRNA from 1 species
GACGUAGGGCGCGAGCGUUUGUCCGGAAUUAUUGGGCGUAAAGGGCUCGUAGGCGGUCUGUCGCGUCGGGAGUGAAAACUUACAGCUUAACUGUGAGCGUGCUUCCGAUACGGGCAGACUUGAGGUAUUCAGGGGAGAACGGAAUUCCUGGUGUAGCGGUGAAAUGCGCAGAUAUCAGGAGGAACACCAGCGGCGAAGGCGGCGCUCUGGGCCGGUACUGACACUGAGGAGCGAAAGCGUGGGUAGCAAACAGG